GGGUUCGUGUGCAAAACGGGAGUGAUAUGCAUUUAUAAAUGAUAAAUCGAGCUGGGUUCUGUCUACCGUGCAUCGCUACCCCCGAGAACAAAGGGAUUCAUCAUGGGAAAGUGUCCAACCUGCAAUAAGGAGGUGUACUUCGCUGAACGACAACCCUAUAACAACAAAGACUUUCACAAGACUUGCUUCAAGUGUACCAAAUGUGGCAGGAAACUUACACCAGGGAAAAUAGCAGAGCAUGACGGUCAGCUCUACUGCCCUCAUCCGUGUUACGCAGAUCUAUUUGGACCUCACGGUAAAAAAUGACAAUCGACUACUCUCAUCAGCCAAGCAUUUAUAUGGACCAAUCAACAAUACUUAGCUGUUGUUUUCUAAUUAUUUAAUUUUUAUAUAAAUUUCCCAUUUAACAUAAUAUAUAACAUGACUUUGGAAUACACUCUUACACACUUGCUUGAAAACAUUUUUAUAUAUUUUUAUAUAUGCUCCUGACCCCUAUAUGUGAAACAUGAAGAUGUUCUGGUUCAUCCAAAUAUAUACAUCUAUGUCACUAUAUGUUUGUUCUAAAAUUAGUGACUUUCUUUAUGAAAGCAAGUUGGAUAUAUACAACUUCACUGAAACGGUUUUAGCUAUACUCUAUUAUCGUGUACGAAUUUGUUUUGUAUGUAUGAAGUGUAAUAAAACCUUUCCAAAUUC